rnacentral:snRNA from 1 species
ACUCAUACCUGGCAAAGGAAAUACCAUGUCAUUAAAGUGGUUUUCCCAGGGGGAAGCUCACCCAUUGCACUUUGGGUGUGCUACUGCUCCCUGUGAUUUCCCCAAAUGUGGGGACCUCAACUGCAUAAUUUGUGUUAAUGUGUGAUUACAUUUGUGAUUUCCCU